AUUGAACGCUGGCGGCAGGCUUAACACAUGCAAGUCGAGCGGGGUGAUGGUGCUUGCACUAUCACUUAGCGGCGGACGGGUGAGUAAUGCUUAGGAAUCUGCCUAUUAGUGGGGACAACAUCUCGAAAGGGAUGCUAAUACCGCAUACGUCCUACGGGAGAAAGCAGGGGAUCACUUGUGACCUUGCGCUAAUAGAUGAGCCUAAGUCGGAUUAGCUAGUUGGUGGGGUAAAGGCCUACCAAGGCGACGAUCUGUAGCGGGUCUGAGAGGAUGAUCCGCCACACUGGGACUGAGACACGGCCCAGACUCCUACGGGUGGCAGCAGUCGAGAAUUUUUCACAAUGGGCGAAAGCCUGAUGGAGCGACGCCACGUGGGGGAUGAAUGGCUUCGGCCCGUAAACCCCUGUCAUUUGCGAACAAACCUCGUUAUUUAAAAGAUGACGAGUUGAUUGUAGCGGAAGAGGAAGGGACGGCUAACUCUGUGCCAGCAGCCGCGGUAA
rnacentral:rRNA from 1 species